GCGGCCGUGACCCUGCUGGAGUGCGGGGGGCACCUCCAGCCCCCCGGAGGGUCCCUGACGUUGCUGUGCCGCACAUCUGAGUUCAAUUUUGGGAGUUUUGACAUGUUUUGGAUCCGUCAGAGACCCGGGCAGGCGCUGGAAUGGGUCGCAGGGAUCAACACUGGUGGAGGCACCACCUACUACGCGCCAUCGGUCAAGGGCCGGUUCAGGAUCUCCAGGAACAACGGGAAGAGCUCGGUGACGCUGACCAUGAACAACCUCAAGGAUGAGGAUUCCGGAUCCUAUUUCUGUGCCAAAUUUUCUGGUGCCGCCCCAAAACCCUACCAGAGUUUUCCAUAUCUCAACAUGCCUGAAAACUGCAAUUAA